rnacentral:rRNA from 1 species
GAUGAAUGCUGGCGGCGUGCCUAACACAUGCAAGUCGAGCGGUAACAGGAGUAGUUUACUACUUGCUGACGAGCGGCGGACGGCUGAGUAACGCGUGGGAACGUGCCCCAGAGUGAGGGAUAACUGCCCGAAAGGGUGGCUAAUACCGCAUAUGGUCUUCGGAUUAAAGGAUUUAUCCGCUUUGGGAGCGGCCCGCGUUAGAUUAGGUAGUCGGUAGGGUAAUGGCCUACCAAGCCUACGAUCUAUAGCUGGUCUGAGAGGAUGACCAGCCAGACUGGAACUGAGACACGGUCCAGACUCCUACGGGAGGCAGCAGUGAGGAAUCUUCCACAAUGGGCGAAAGCCUGAUGGAGCAACGCCGCGUGAAGGAUGAAGGCCCUCGGGUUGUAAACUUCUUUUAUAAGUGAAGAAUAUGACGGUAACUUAUGAAUAAGCACCGGCUAACUACGUGCCAGCCGCCGCCGUAA